rnacentral:ncRNA from 1 species
GAAAGCCGUAUUCGAUGAUAGUCGUAUGUAUGGCUUGGAGGGAGAUCUUUCAUAUCUUUCGAGCAUUCGCCAUCUAUUUUCAU